rnacentral:rRNA from 1 species
GUCUACAGCCAUGCUACCCUGAACACACCCGAUCUCAUCUGAUCUCAGAAGCUAAGCAGGGUUGGGCUUAGUUAGUACUUGGAUGAGAGACCACCUAGGAAUACCAGGUGCUAUAGGCU